rnacentral:rRNA from 1 species
AUGACCGAGCCGAUGACCAAUCUUAGGGAGGUAAAUACAAAGGGCAUCUCAUGGAGGAAUUUAAGUCAUGCAUGGAAAAAGCUACACAACCUUCAGAAGCUCCGAGUGACCGAAUCCUUAGAUGUUAUCACGGUAGAGACAUGCUCUUUCUUUGAUAUGAUAAAUCUUGAGCUCUUGGACUUAUCGGAUAGCAUUCAUAUGAAAUCAUUGCCUGCAGUGUCAUCAUCAGGAAACUUAAAGAUGCUUGUUCUUGAUGGUUGUUCCAUAUUGAAGCAUGUUGCACUCGAGGGAACCACUCCACAACUCGAGAGUUUUAGCUUUGAUGGUUAUGGCCCAUCAGUGAAAUGGACACAUGAUGUACAACUGCCAAAAAUAGAACUGCAUCCCAAGUCCCGCAAUGCUUCACUUCCAGAAGCAAAGGUGAUACAGAUCCCCCUAAAGGGUUGCAAUCAUUUGCGCAACAUAUUCUUGCAUGCAUUACCCAGUCUUGAGGAGUUGGACCCCUCUGGCACAUCUGUUAAAACACUUGACCUCUAUACAAUGGGUGUCCCACGGCUCAAGAAGCUAUUCCUGUUGGGUUAUGGAAGGUUCUUUUGGUCUACAAUGAGGGGACUCCAUUGGCGGAGUUCUAUGUAUAGCUACAAGGUGCACCUCCAUAUCUCCUCUAUGAUCCAAAGCCAAGUAAACAUCACCAAAUGUGUGCAUAUCGAGAUUGGUGAAGGAAGCCACCAUUUAGAGAGCAUGAAUGCCAAUGAAGAUUGCAAAUUUUUCAUAGGCUAUCAAGUUCAAUCAUUACAUGUGCACGGCAAUAUCUUGAUCAAAACGGUCCUUCCGGGGGAAUCAAGAUCUUGGAUGCAUCUAGAAUGGUGUCAUGUUGAGGGGUGCCCCAAGCUACACACUUUGUUCCCUGCUCAUGAACAUGAGUUCUUUGAAUCAAUAAGGAUAUUUUUUGCAUCUGAUCUCCCAAUGGCCUAUUGCAUCUGGGGUAGAAGCAUCUUUCAUCACUCUUCCAGCUUUGAAGGCUUACAACACAUAUACUUGCACAAUUGUCCACGGUUGGUGUUUGUCCUCCCUAUUUCUUCCUUCUCCUUGCCACACUUGGAGUCCAUUCAAAUUGCACAUUGUAGUAAUAUCCAACAUAUAUUCCCACUGAACGAUGAGUGCCCUCGAGAGAUAGCAUCUCAAGUAACAUUCAAGAAGCUGAAGCACAUUAAGCUGUACCAUCUCCACAAGCUAGAGCAGAUAUGCGAGACUAGCCUGAUCACCAUUCUGGCCUUAGAGACGAUCAGCCUCAAGGACUGUUGGGGCCUGAGACGGCUAGCAGUCUUGUCACGUGAAGGUAAUCUGAAUCAUGCAAAGUGUGUUUGUCACAAGCUCGAUCUGCAGUGCCGUGAGGGUGCAAUAGAUUUCAUUCAGACGGUGGACUACACGUCAUGCCACUUAGAAACAGUCGCCGCUGCUGCACGAGCCUUCGAGCAGCCGCUGCGCCUCUCCACACCCCGUCGGAGCUCUACGGGGCAAAGCCUAGACAUGGAUGAUGGCGGCGGCGGGGCCUUCCUUUGUCGCAGCUCUGGGAUGCGGUUGUGGUGGAGAUCCGCAUGGGUGUCCUGGACAUGUGCGUCGUCUGGCAUGGACGGCACAAUGGUGAGGGCCCCUCCGUUGUUGAUGGCUCACCCAAGCGGGGGCGGAGGUUUCAGGCGGUGGUGCGGCUCCGGUCGUGCGGUUUUUCGGCAACAGAGGUCACCCAUGGGCGUGCUGGAUGACGGAGGAGGUCGAUCUGGUGGUCUAGCCAAGGAUGUGUGCGGAUUUGCUAGCAAAAGCUUGGUUCGACCUUGGCCAGAACCGUUAAUGGCGGCGCCUACGCACGUAGUUACCUCGUUGGAGGCAUUCUGGGGUGAUCCGCGUUCCCUCUGUACCCCGGGGGAAACUCCAGAUUCGGGCUCUCCAGGGUGGAUGAUGGGACAAGUGUUUGGCUUGGUGGCUAGGCGUAGAUCUCCUUAUGCUUCUCGUGUGGUGACCAAGGUGGAGAGGUGUGCCUUCUACAAUAUCGACGCCAAUGAGUCUUGGCGGCAAGGUGUAGCGGAGUCUCGGUGUUGGAUACGUUUGAUGGGCAUGCAUAGGAGGCUAGCACUGUCCAGCGUUAUAGCGGUGUCGACGGCUGGAAGGUUUGGCAAGAUCAGUGCAUUGAUUGCUCCAGAAGUUGUGAUUGCGAAAGAACGCAACGAUGGAUUCUGCAGCAAGCGCAUGCGGUCAUGCGCAUGCCGAGGGUAUGCUAGACCACUUAGUUCCCCGGCUAGCCGGCAGGUGGCUUGGUGA